GCAAACAUUAGUCCCUCUUCAUAAUUUAAUAAGAGAUUGGAUUAAAUUGGCGAUGUCCGAAGAGGAGCGACAAGAGGCAAAAGAUUUCUUUUUUGAAAAAAGUGGAUUUGAAAAUAUCGUCAUGUGUGUUGAUGGUACCCACAUAAAAAUAAAAAAAAACCACGUAACCGACCACUACAGUAUUUAAACCGGAAGAACGUUUAUAGCAUCAAUGCUUUGAUUGUAUGUGAUCACAAAUACCGGAUUAGAGCGAUCGACGCUCGUUUUGCAGGAUCAAACCAUGACGCCCAUAUCUGGAGAGUAAGUCCAGUCCGGGCUUAUUUUGAGCACUUACAUAGAAGUGGCCAAAAUGACAGACUAUUUGGAGAUGCUGGAUAUCCCUCAGAACCUUGGAUAGUAAGACCUCAUCGUGAUCCGGAUGAGGGUUCUGUGGAAGCACAAGAAAACUCAAAAAUAUCGUCGGGAAGAAUGACUGUGGAGCAAAGUAUAGGAAUCCUAAAAUCACGGUUCAGAUGUCUGUUAGGAGCUGAAAGAUCCCUGAAUUACGAUCCAAGAAAGGCAGGACUAAUAAUCAAUACGUGUUGUGCGUUACACAACAUGUGUAUUGAACACAAUAUAGAGUGGCAACAGACGUUCAAUAGUAUUAUACGUGGUAUAGAAGAUUCAUAGAAGAAAACAGGAAAAAAGAAAAAGUAA